AUGAUUUCAGAUAUAUGGCGGUUGGCCCAGCAGGUGAAAGUUAGACAAAGAGUCAUAGUUACUGCAAUCACAUACUUCAGGUGUGUCUGUACAAGAAAGAGCAUGGCGGAGUAUGAUCCUUGUUUGGUAGCACCAGCUUGUUUGUAUUUGGCAUCAAAGGUGGAGGAAAGCACAGUGCAAACAAGGCAUCUCGUAUUUUACAUCAAGAUGAUGUGUGUGGUAACUGGUUCUGAUGACAAGUACAGAUUUGAAUUCAAAUAUAUUCUUGAAAUGGAAAUGAAGCUCCUGGAAGCACUCAACUAUUAUUUGGUUGUUUUGCACCCAUACUGUCCUCUUUUACUGUUAUUGCAGGAUGCUGGCAUAACAGAUCUGACACAAUUCGCCUGGGGCCUUGUCAAUGAUACUUACAAGAUGGAUCUUAUUCUCAUAUAUCCUCCAUAUAUGAGUGCAUUGGCCUGCAUAUACAUUGCAAGUGUUCUUAAAGGUAAGGACACGACUUCCUGGUUUGAAGAACUCCAUGUUGACAUGAACAUUCUUAAGAAUAUUUCUAUGGAAAUCUUGGACUUGUACGACACCUACAAGAUUGAUCCUAAUAGGGGCCUCUAG
rnacentral:rRNA from 1 species